CCCAACUAUCCCUAUUAAUCAUUACGUCAAUCCUAGAAACCAACAAAAUAGGAUCGAACGUCCUAUUUCAUUAUUCCAUGCUAAUGUAUUCAAGCGUUAGCCUGCUUUAAACACUCUAAUUUUUUCAAAGUAACAGUCCAGUUUCCCCGCAACACCAAAUUAAUGGCAUUACGGUUCAUCAGGAAGGAGGAAUCAGUGAGAUCAGUACAUACCUGAGGCACGACCAACCUACUAACCCCGAAAUUCAACUA
rnacentral:rRNA from 1 species